rnacentral:rRNA from 1 species
UCGAGGGGCAGCAGGAUCUAGCAAUAGAUUGCUGGCGACCGGCGCACGGGUGAGUAACACGUAUCCAACCUGCCGAUAACUCGGGGAUAGCCUUUCGAAAGAAAGAUUAAUACCCGAUGGUAUAAUCAGACCGCAUGGUUUGAUUAUUAAAGAAUUUCGGUUAUCGAUGGGGAUGCGUUCCAUUAGGCAGUUGGUGAGGUAACGGCUCACCAAACCUUCGAUGGAUAGGGGUUCUGAGAGGAAGGUCCCCCACAUUGGAACUGAGACACGGUCCAAACUCCUACGGGAGGCAGCAGUGAGGAAUAUUGGUCAAUGGACGGGAGUCUGAACCAGCCAAGUAGCGUGAAGGAUGACUGCCCUAUGGGUUGUAAACUUCUUUUAUAUGGGAAUAAAGUUUUCCACGUGUGGAAUUUUGUAUGUACCAUAUGAAUAAGGAUCGGCUAACUCCGUGCCAGCAGCCGCGGUAAUACGGAGGAUCCGAGCGUUAUCCGGAUUUAUUGGGUUUAAAGGGAGCGUAGGUGGACAGUUAAGUCAGUUGUGAAAGUUUGCGGCUCAACCGUAAAAUUGCAGUUGAUACUGGCUGUCUUGAGUACAGUAGAGGUGGGCGGAAUUCGUGGUGUAGCGGUGAAAUGCUUAGAUAUCACGAAGAACUCCGAUUGCGAAGGCAGCUCACUGGACUGCAACUGACACUGAUGCUCGAAAGUGUGGGUAUCAAAC